rnacentral:rRNA from 1 species
UACAGAGGGGGCAAGCGUUGUUCGGAAUUACUGGGCGUAAAGGGCGCGUAGGCGGCCUUCUAAGUCGAACGUGAAAUCCCCGGGCUCAACCCGGGAACUGCGUCCGAUACUGGAAGGCUUGAAUCCGGGAGAGGGAUGCGGAAUUCCAGGUGUAGCGGUGAAAUGCGUAGAUAUCUGGAGGAACACCGGUGGCGAAGGCGGCAUCCUGGACCGGCAUUGACGCUGAGGCGCGAAAGCCAAGGGAGCAAACGGG